rnacentral:tRNA from 1 species
UCCUCGGUAGCUCAGUUGGCAGAGCAGGUGACUGUUAAUCACCUUGUCCGUGGUUCGAGUCCACGCCGAGGAGCCA